UACGUAGGUGGCGAGCGUUGUCCGGAUUUACUGGGCGUAAAGGGCGUGCAGGCGGUUUGUUAAGUGCAGGGUGAAAGCUCCCGGCUCAACUGGGAGAGGUCCUUGCAUACUGGCGAACUCGAGGGAGGCAGAGGGAAGUGGAAUUCCCGGUGUAGUGGUGAAAUGCGUAGAUAUCGGGAGGAACACCAGUGGCGAAGGCGACUUCCUGGCCUGUUCUUGACGCUGAGGCGCGAAAGCUAGGGGAGCAAACGGG
rnacentral:rRNA from 1 species